UAUGUUCUGCUUCAUGAAAGCAGCUAAGAGGGAAGCAGGUUCAAGUCCUGCGCGGUCCCGCCACUGUAAGCGGUAAGUUUUGUCUGUGACGAUAAUAGUCAGCCACUGAAUUUUUGGGAAGGUAAGAUAAAGCGCUUGAACCGCAAGCCAGGAGACCUGCAUAUAA
rnacentral:ncRNA from 1 species